rnacentral:rRNA from 1 species
GGGCGUAAAGGGCUCGCAGGCGGUUUCUUAAGUCUGAUGUGAAAGCCCCCGGCUCAACCGGGGAGGGUCAUUGGAAACUGGGAAACUUGAGUGCAGAAGAGGAGAGUGGAAUUCCACGUGUAGCGGUGAAAUGCGUAGAGAUGUGGAGGAACACCAGUGGCGAAGGCGACUCUCUGGUCUGUAACUGACGCUGAGGAGCGAAAGCGUGGGGAGCGAACAGGAUUAGAUACCCUGGUAGUCCACGCCGUAAACGAUGAGUGCUAAGUGUUAGGGGGUUUCCGCCCCUUAGUGCUGCAGCUAACGCAUUAAGCACUCCGCCUGGGGAGUACGGUCGCAAGACUGAAACUCAAAGGAAUUGACGGGGGCCCGCACAAGCGGUGGAGCAUGUGGUUUAAUUCGAAGCAACGCGAAGAACCUUACCAGGUCUUGACAUCCUCUGACAACCCUAGAGAUAGGGCUUUCCCUUCGGGGACAGAGUGACAGGUGGUGCAUGGUUGUCGUCAGCU